AUUGAACGCUGGCGGCAGGCCUAACACAUGCAAGUCGAGCGAGCGGCGGACGGGUGAGUAAUGUAUGGGGCUCUGCACGCUAGGGGGGGAUAACUACUGGAAACGGUAGCUAAUACCGCAUACUAACGGAUGCCCCCAUGUGGGAUUAGCUAGUAGGGGGGGUAAAGGCUCACCUAGGCAACGAGCUCUAGCUGGGCUGAGAGGAUGAUCAGCCACACUGGGACGGAGACACGGCCCAGACGCCUACGGGAGGCAGCAGUGGGGAAUAUUGCACAAUGGGCGCAAGCCUGAUGCAGCCAUGCCGCGGGUAGGAAGAAGGCCUUAGGGUGGUAAAGUACUUUCAGCGGGGAGGCGUUACCCUCAGAAGAAGCACCGGCGAACUCCGUGCCAGCAGCCGCGGUAAUUC
rnacentral:rRNA from 1 species